GUGAAUGGGCGGCAGCUACACAUGCAGUCGAACGGUAGACAGGGAGCAGCUUGCUGCUCUGCUGACGAGUGGCGGACGGGUGAGUAAUGUCUGGGAAACUGCCUGAUGGAGGGGGAUAACUACUGGAAACGGUAGCUAAUACCGCAUAACGUCUACGGACCAAAGUGGGGGACCUUCGGGCCUCAUGCCAUCAGAUGUGCCCAGAUGGGAUUAGCUAGUAGGUGGGGUAACGGCUCACCUAGGCGACGAUCCCUAGCUGGUCUGAGAGGAUGACCAGCCACACUGGAACUGAGACACGGUCCAGACUCCUACGGGAGGCAGCAGUGGGGAAUAUUGCACAAUGGGCGCAAGCCUGAUGCAGCCAUGCCGCGUGUAUGAAGAAGGCCUUCGGGUUGUAAAGUACUUUCAGCGGGGAGGAAGGCGUUGUGGUUAAUAACCACAACUAUUGACGUUACCCGCAGAAGAAGCACCGGCUAACUCCGUGCCAGCAGCCGCGGUAAUACAGAGGGUGCAAGCGUUACUCAAAUUUACUGGGCGUAAAGCACACCCAGGCGGUUGGCUAAUCCAAAGUUAAAACCCCCGGGCUCAACCUGGGAACUGCAUUUGAAACUGGCAGGCUUUUGUCUUUUCAAGGGGGGUAAAAUUCCAGGGGGAAAGGUGAAAAGCGUAAAUAUCUGGAGGAAUACCGGUGGCGAAAGCG
rnacentral:rRNA from 1 species